AGAUUAUAUCUGAAUGCUUUUUCU
rnacentral:misc_RNA from 1 species